rnacentral:rRNA from 1 species
GUGGCGAACGGGUGAGUAACACGUGAGUAACCUGCCCUUGACUCUGGGAUAACUGCUAGAAAUGGUAGCUAAUACCGGAUACGACCCUCGGCCGCAUGGUCAGGGGGUGGAAAGAAUUUUGGUCAAGGAUGGACUCGCGGCCUAUCAGGUAGUUGGUGAGGUAAUGGCUCACCAAGCCUACGACGGGUAGCCGGCCUGAGAGGGUGACCGGCCACACUGGGACUGAGACACGGCCCAGACUCCUACGGGAGGCAGCAGUGGGGAAUAUUGCACAAUGGGCGAAAGCCUGAUGCAGCAACGCCGCGUGAGGGACGACGGCCUUCGGGUUGUAAACCUCUUUUAGUAGGGAAGAAGCGAAAGUGACGGUACCUGCAGAAAAAGCACCGGCUAACUACGUGCCAGCAGCCGCGGUAAUACGUAGGGUGCAAGCGUUGUCCGGAAUUAUUGGGCGUAAAGAGCUCGUAGGCGGUUUGUCGCGUCUGCUGUGAAAUCCGGAGGCUCAACCUCCGGCCUGCAGUGGGUACGGGCAGACUAGAGUGCGGUAGGGGAGAUUGGAAUUCCUGGUGUAGCGGUGGAAUGCGCAGAUAUCAGGAGGAACACCAAUGGCGAAGGCAGAUCUCUGGGCCGUAACUGACGCUGAGGAGCGAAAGCAUGGGGAGCGAACAGGAUUAGAUACCCUGGUAGUCCAUGCCGUAAACGUUGGGAACUAGAUGUGGGGGCCAUUCCACGGUCUCCGUGUCGCAGCUAACGCAUUAAGUUCCCCGCCUGGGGAGUACGGCCGCAAGGCUAAAACUCAAAGGAAUUGACGGGGGCCCGCACAAGCGGCGGAGCAUGCGGAUUAAUUCGAUGCAACGCGAAGAACCUUACCAAGGCUUGACAUAUAGAGGUAACGUGCAGAAAUGUACGCCCCGCAAGGUCUCUAUACAGGUGGUGCAUGGUUGUCGUCAGCUCGUGUCGUGAGAUGUUGGGUUAAGUCCCGCAACGAGCGCAACCCUCGUUCUAUGUUGCCAGCACGUUAUGGUGGGAACUCAUAGGAGACUGCCGGGGUCAACUCGGAGGAAGGUGGGGAUGACGUCAAAUCAUCAUGCCCCUUAUGUCUUGGGCUUCACGCAUGCUACAAUGGCCGGUACAAAGGGCUGCGAUACCGUAAGGUGGAGCGAAUCCCAAAAAGCCGGUCUCAGUUCGGAUUGAGGUCUGCAACUCGACCUCAUGAAGUCGGAGUCGCUAGUAAUCGCAGAUCAGCAACGCUGCGGUGAAUACGUUCCCGGGCCUUGUACACACCGCCCGUCAAG